UACGUAGGGUGCGAGCGUUGUCCGGAAUUAUGGGGCGUAAAGAGCUUGUAGGUGGCUCGUCGCGUCGGGAGUGAAAACCCGCGGCUUAACCGCGGGCCUGCUUUCGAUACGGGCGGGCUAGAGUUCGGCAGGGGAGACUGGAAUUCCUGGUGUAGCGGUGGAAUGCGCAGAUAUCAGGAGGAACACCGGUGGCGAAGGCGGGUCUCUGGGCCGAUACUGACACUGAGAAGCGAAAGCGUGGGGAGCGAACAGG
rnacentral:rRNA from 1 species